UUCUUUGAGUACAUUUAUACAAAGUAAAACCUGCUCAAUGAAGAUUAAAUAGCCGCAAUUUUAUUGUGCUAAGGUAGCAUAAUCACUUGCUUCUUAAUUAGAAGAUAGAAUGAAAGGCCAAACGACAUGUAACUGUCUCUAUUUAAAAAAAAUAAAUUGUUUAAGACGUAAUAAAACAUCUAUAUGACGACAAGACGACAAGACCCUACAAACUUAACAUUUUGUUGGGGAGACACAAAAACAAAAUCUUAUUAUAUAUACUUAUAAUCCUUACAAUAAAUAUUAAAUAGUUACUUUAGGGAUAACAGCGCAAUAUUUUUUAAGAGUUCCUAUCAAAAAAAAAGCUUACGACCUCGAUGUUGAAUUAAUUUUCCUACCCCGCGCAAAAGCCGUUAAAGGUAGUCUGUUCGACUAUUAAACAUUU
rnacentral:rRNA from 1 species